rnacentral:rRNA from 1 species
AUGUACUCUUUACCUCCUUAUGCAUUCAUAGCACAAGACUUUACUACUCAAGCUGCUUUAUAUACUCAUCACCAAUAUAUUGCAGGGUUCAUCAUGACAGGGGCUUUUGCUCAUGGAGCUAUUUUUUUCAUUAGGGAUUACAAUUCGGAACAGAAUGAGGAUAAUGUAUUGGCAAGAAUGUUAGACCAUAAAGAAGCUAUCAUGUCUCAUUUAAGUUGGGCUAGCCUCUUUCUAGGAUUCCAUACCUUGGGCCUUUAUGUUCAUAACGACGCCAUGCUUGCUUUUGGUAAUCCAGAAAAGCAAAUCUUGAUCGAACCUAUAUUUUCCCAAUGGAUACAAUCUGCUCAUGGCAAGACGACAUAUGGGUUCGAUAUACUCUUAUCUUCAACGAAUGGCCCCACUUUCAAUGCGGGUCGAAGCCUAUGGUAG